rnacentral:snRNA from 1 species
UCUUGGUCGCUUUGCCAAGAUAUAUCCUAAAUUGGAACAAUACAGAGAAAUUUAGCAUGGCCUUUGUGCAAGGAUGACAGGUAAAUUAAAAAAAACCAAAAAACUGUC